rnacentral:rRNA from 1 species
UCUUUUACUUUCUCAUAAAAUGUAUGAUCUCAUUAGACCUCACAAGUUAAGCGGGAUCAGGCUGGGUCAGUACUUGGAUGGAAAACGUCUAGGAAAAAUUCACGUAUCAAAGGAA